rnacentral:snRNA from 1 species
AGCUUUGCGCAGUGGCAGUAUCAUAGCCAAUGAGGUUUAUCCGAGGUGUGAUUAUUGCUAAUUGAAAACUUUUCCCAAUACCCCACCAUGGCAACUUGAAAUGUAGUCGGCAUUGGCAAUUUUUGACACUCUCUACAGAGA